AGAGAGAGAGAGAGAGAGGUCUUUGCUUAGUACUUGUAACUAAAAACUCACCAGAAAAUGUGAGACCAUGGUAUCCCUUGAGAAAGGGACUUCUUGAGUGGGCACUUGUUUAGGUACAAAGGUUUCUCAGUGGUGCAAAAAGGCAUUCUCCCAAUUCACACGGCACAAGCAAAGGCAGAACACAACAGCAGAAUGAGGAUUAUUGCUGCAAUUGGUUUACUCCUGAUAUGUGUGCAUACUGGAAACUCCUUGCUGAUCGGAGCAUUUAACAUCAAAUCCUUCGGGGACACAAAAGCAUCAAAUGCAACUUUGCUUGGCAUCAUUACCAAAGUCGUGCAACGAUAUGACAUUGUGCUCAUCCAAGAGGUGAGGGACAGCGAUCUCACUGCAGUUAAUAAACUGAUGCAGAGUGUGAAUGGAGGUUCCUCUCCAUAUGGGUACAUAGUGAGUGAGCCCCUGGGUAGGAGUACUUACAAAGAGCAAUAUCUCUUUAUUUACAGGCAUCAGACUGUAUCAGUGGCAAACCACUUCCAAUAUGAUGAUGGAUGUGAAUCCUGUGGGACUGAUGCAUUCAACAGAGAACCCUUUGUUGUGAUGUUCUCCUCUAAUACAGAAAUCGAAAGUUUCCCCCCUCAUCAAGACCAACGGGUGCCAAAAAUCACUCAUCUGUCCAGAACUUUGCCCUCAUUCCCCAGCAUACAUCCCCAGAAGUCGCUGUGCAGGAAAUUGAUGCUCUGCAUGAUGUCGUCUUGGAUACCAGACAACGUUGGAACACAAACAACAUCAUGCUUAUGGGUGACUUUAAUGCUGGCUGUAGCUAUGUUUCGAAUGCGAACUGGUCCAAAAUACGACUCCGUACUGACCAAAGUUACAGCUGGCUCAUCCCUGACAGUGCAGACACAACUGUCACAAACACCAACUGCCCUUAUGAUAGGAUUGUGGCCACCUCAGACAUGAUGAGAGGAGUGUCCCCUGGAUCUGCACAGGUCUUUGACUUCAUGAAAGCCCAGGGAUUGAGUAACAGCUGGGCCCUGGCAGUGAGUGAUCACUUUCCAGUUGAAGUCAAGCUUCUGUGAAAGAUCAAGGUUGUUUCCUCACAGCAGAUACACCAAUUAAAUGAUUGGACACUCUUGA